CCUACGGGUGACAGCAGUGAGGAAUAUUGGUCAAUGGGCGCGAGCCUGAACCAGCCAAGUCGCGUGAGGGAUGAAGGUUCUAUGGAUCGUAAACCUCUUUUAUAAGGGAAUAAAGUGUGGGACGUGUCCUAUUUUGUAUGUACCUUAUGAAUAAGGAUAGGCUAACUCCGUGCCAGCAGCCGCGGUAAUACGGAGGAUCCGAGCGUUAUCCGGAUUUAUUGGGUUUAAAGGGUGCGUAGGCGGCCUGUUAAGUCAGCGGUGAAAGUCUGUGGCUCAACCAUAGAAUUGCCGUUGAAACUGGGAGGCUUGAGUAUGUUUGAGGCAGGCGGAAUGCGUGGUGUAGCGGUGAAAUGCGUAGAUAUCACGCAGAACCCCGAUUGCGAAGGCAGCCUGCCAGGCCAUGACUGACGCUGAUGCGCGAAAGCGUGGGGAUCAAACAGGAUUAGAUACCCGGGUAGUC
rnacentral:rRNA from 1 species